rnacentral:rRNA from 1 species
AUUGAACGCUGGCGGCAGGCCUAACACAUGCAAGUCGAACGGUAACAGGAAGCAGCUUGCUGCUUCGCUGACGAGUGGCGGACGGGUGAGUAAUGUCUGGGAAACUGCCUGAUGGAGGGGGAUAACUACUGGAAACGGUAGCUAAUACCGCAUAACGUCGCAAGACCAAAGAGGGGGACCUUAGGGCCUCUUGCCAUCUGAUGUGCCCAGAUGGGAUUAGCUAGUAGGCGGGGUAACGGCUCACCUAGGCGACGAUCCCUAGCUGGUCUGAGAGGAUGACCAGCCACACUGGAACUGAGACACGGUCCAGACUCCUACGGGAGGCAGCAGUGGGGAAUAUUGCACAAUGGGCGCAAGCCUGAUGCAGCCAUGCCGCGUGUAUGAAGAAGGCCUUCGGGUUGUAAAGUACUUUCAUCGGGGAGGAAGGGAGUAAAGUUAAUACCUUUGCUCAUUGACGUUACCCGCAGAAGAAGCACCGGCUAACUCCGUG